AAGUCGUAACAAGGUUUCCGUAGGUGAACCUGCGGAAGGAUCAUUAUUGAAUAAACUUGGUUGGGUUGCUGCUGGCUCUUAGGAGCAUGUGCACACCUAAUGCCAUUUUUUAACCACCUGUGCACCCUCUGUAGAUUCUGAAGUACCUUUCGAGGAAACUCGGUUUGAGAACUGCUGUGCUGAAAAGCCAGCUUUUCUUGCACUUCAGGUCUAUGUUUUUAUAUACCCCACAAGAAUGUAUUAGAAUGUUGUCAAUAGGCCUCUGUGCCUUUAAAACAAAUACAA
rnacentral:misc_RNA from 1 species